CCUGCAUAUUUGUCCGACUUGGGCAGCUCAAAGCCUAAGACAAAAAAAGAAGAAGAGUAAGCGACGCUCUAAACCCAUAUUCAAAUCUAUUUUCUUACUCUCUUCAGUCAAUUCCAAUUUAUGGUCGAUUCAUGUAUUUAGUGGAGAAAUAAUAGGUACUUUGAUUAAUAUUCAGUUAGUGUAAAUGGAUCCAAUGGCUGACCAGCAAUUAGAUUAUGGAGAUGAGGAAUAUGUAGGGGCUCAAAAGAUGCAGUAUCAGGGAGGUGGAGCUAUUUCUGCCCUUGCAGAUGAUGAGAUGAUAGGAGAAGAUGAUGAGUAUGAUGAUCUCUAUAACGAUGUUAAUGUUGGAGAAGGUUUCUUGCAGCUGCAACGUUCUGAGGCACCAAUGCCAGCUUCUGGUGUGCUUAACGGGGGAUUCCGAGCACAGAAAAGUAGUCUUCCUGAACCUAAAGCUGAAGCGGCAGGGUCACAACAGCUAAGUGUCCAUGGAGUUGCAUCUGAAGGAAAGUAUUCUAAUUUUGGGAUCCAUUUUUCUGAGCCAAAGGAAGAGUUGACAGCUGAUAAGGGACAAGUGGCAGCUACUGAUAUUGCUCAAAUGAUAAGGGUUCAGGGGAUGACUCAUGAUGCUCCAGCAGGGAAUUCAGGGUUUCAAGUAUCAACUCCUAUGCCUCACAAAAUAAGCGUUGAUUCUUCUGAAAUGUCGGUAAAAGUUGCCGCCGAGUCUGCUCCGCCUCUGAACACUGGCACAAGCGGCCCUAGGGGUGGUCCUCCACAGAUUCCAGCUAAUCAGAUGAGUAUGAAUGUAAAUGUGAACCGCCCAAUAGUUAAUGAAAAUCAGAUUCGGCCAGCUUUAGAGAACGGUGGAACCAUGCUCUUUGUUGGAGAACUACAUUGGUGGACUACAGAUGCCGAGCUUGAGAGUGUACUAUCUCAAUAUGGGAGGGUCAAGGAGAUCAAGUUUUUUGACGAGAGAGCUAGUGGAAAAUCCAAAGGUUAUUGUCAAGUUGAAUUUUAUGAUUCAGCUGCCGCAGCUGCAUGCAAAGAUGGAAUGAAUGGUCACAAUUUUAAUGGGCGUGCUUGUGCAGUCGCCUUUGCUUCUCCACAAACUAUAAGGCAGAUGGCUUCUUCUUAUACGAACAAAAACCAAGUCCAGCCCCAGUCUCAGUCACAAGGAAGGAGGCCCAUGAAUGAUGGUUUGGGGAGAGGUGGUGGGAUGAAUCAAUCGAGUGGAGAUGUUGGGAGGAAUUAUGGAAAUGGAAGAGGUGGGUGGGGACGAGGAGGGCAGGGAAUACUCAAUAGAGGUCCCGGGGGUGGAUCAAUGAGGGGAAGAGGAGGGGCUAUGGGACCAAAGAACAUGGUUGGAAGCGCUUCUGGGGUUGGAAGUGGUGCCAGUGGAGGAGCAUAUGGGCAAGGCCCUGGAGGCCCGGCUUUUGGUGGUCCGCUUGGUGGUUUGAUGCAUCCUCAGGGUAUGAUGGGUGCUGGAUUUGAUCCAAUGUAUAUGGGUAGAGGAGCAGGCUAUGGAGGCUUUUCGGGUCCUCCUUUCCCCGGGAUGCUUCCUUCAUUUCCAGCUGUUAAUACAAUGGGACUUGCUGGAGUGGCUCCUCAUGUCAACCCUGCUUUCUUUGGCAGAGGAAUGGCGACUAAUGGAAUGGGCAUGAUGGGGCCCGUUGGGUUUGAUGGACAUCAUGCGGGGAUGUGGGGUGAUAUGAGCAUGGGUGGAGGGGGAGGGGAAGAGCAAGGCCGAAGGACAAGAGAGUCGAGUUAUGGUGGUGAUGAUGGUGCUUCUGAAUAUGGAUACGGAGAGGCAAACCAGGAAAAAGGAGUAAGGUCAAAUGCUGCUUCAAGGGAGAAAGAGCGGGGAUCGGAACGUGAUUGGUCAGGAAACUCCGAGAAAAGGCAUCGCAAUGAGAGGGAGAUGGAAAGGGACAGGUCUGACAGAAAUCACAGGUACAGGGAGGAGAAGGAUGGUUACCGGGACAAUCGUCAAAGAGAACAUGAUGGAGGCUAUGAGGAUGACUGGGAUAGAGGACAGUCUUCUUCAAGAUCUCGGAGCAGGUCCAAAGUGAUGCCGGAAGAGGAUAAUAGGCGAUCAAGGGAUGUGGAUUAUGGGAAGCGGAGACGCCUUCCAUCGGAGUGACACAAUGAAACAUUUAUUAUUCGUAGAGGAGUCCUUUGAGACCUUGCUCAUCAUCUAUCUUCUUGCUUUCUGUUGGCCCCACAUACAGAGUGUGGCUUCGUGACUGAAAAAGGACCAAGUUGGCAACUUUCUGUUUUUUUGAUUGAAUCAGCCUAUGUUGGUUACCUCAAGGAAGAAGGGUUAAAUUGGAUGCUUUCCUCUGAAAACCACGUGGUCUGCUAGUAUGCAAAGAAGCCUUAAAACAUUUUGCCUAUCAUUUCGUUUCCUCAAAAAAUUGUUAACUGAUUUUGUCUUUGUCAUUGACAACAUGUAAUUGGCUCGUCUCCAUUUAUUACUUGUGUCUCAUUGUUGUAUUUGUAAAAAUGUUGUAUGAAUUUUGAGGCCCAUGCUUGUAACUGAUAUUGUUGAUUAUUUUCAUUAGGAGAGUUAGGUUUAGCUAUUUGUACAUUGUAACAUGAGGUCAUGGUCUCAGUUGUAAGUGGUUAUUGUAGAUUGCUUCUUUACUUUAAUUGGGCCAGAAGGGGAAGAGUUGUGGUCAUUUGCAGUUGUUUUCCUUCUGAUGAAGGAAUGCCUUGUAAUUAAAUUUUUAGUGUUUUUUCC